CACGUAGGGUGCGAGCGUUGUCCGGAAUUAUUGGGCGUAAAGAGCUCGUAGGCGGUGUGUCGCGUCGGCCGUGAAAACCUGCAGCUUAACUGUGGGCUUGCGGUCGAUACGGGCAUCACUGGAGUUCGGCAGGGGAGACUGGAAUUCCUGGUGUAGCGGUGAAAUGCGCAGAUAUCAGGAGGAACACCCGUGGCUAAGGCGGCUCUCUAGUACGGUACUGACGCUGAGACGCGAAAGCGUGGGGAGCGAACAGG
rnacentral:rRNA from 1 species